rnacentral:rRNA from 1 species
UACGGAGGGUGCAAGCGUUGUCCGGAAUCAUUGGGCGUAAAGCGUUCGUAGGCGGUUUGUCAAGUCUGAUGUUAAAUCCCGGGGCUCAACUCCGGCACGGCAUUGGAUACUGAUAGACUUGAAUGCGGCAGAGGUAAAGGGAAUUCCUGGUGUAGCGGUGAAAUGCGCAGAUAUCAGGAGGAACAUCAGAGGCGAAAGCGCUUUACCGGGCCGUGAUUGACGCUGAGGAACGAAAGCCGGGGGAG